rnacentral:lncRNA from 1 species
AUGGUUCCAGAUGCAACUAGUGACCAUGAAAUUCGGAGGGAGUCUGUAGGAGAAGAAGGGAAUCCAGAUUCAAGCAGUGAUAGAGCAAUGGAAUGAGUUUCAAUAUGUUAUUGCACAUAUUCUGAUAGUGCAACAUUGGAAUUUUUGUUAAGUGUUACUCUUGGUUGUCUUCAUUAGGUGCUUGGUUUUGGGCAUAACUUUGUACUUCUUCUAAUUAC